CUAUAUAUAUAUAUAUGCUUUGAAGGUGAGUGAAUCUUCCCAAGAUCUAAAUUUCCUCUCUCUUUGUCUCUCGCUCCUUCUCCCCCUAGAUCUACACUUUGAAGCCGGUGGACUUUGGCUUUAGAUUGCACAACCUAGUUGAAGGGACAUAGGACUUGCAAAUCAGUAGUUGUGCUCACUUUCUCUUUAAGGAUCUUUGAGAAUCUUUAAGAGUGGAGUGCUUAUGUAUUGGAAGUCUCAUUGAUACCAUUAUGAAAUGGAUGUCUCUGAUUCAAUUGUAUACAUUUAGUAAUGGUGUUGUCUCUAUCUACUAUCAGUGACACUUCUACUUCAGAUUCACUCUACUCUCUUAAAGAUUUUCAAAGAUAUCCUCGAAGAAAAAGUAAGCAGCACUACUACUCGAUUUCACAAGUUCUGCGUCCCUUCAUUCUAGGUCGUUCAAUGAAGUACCAUUUUUUUAAGAUAAGAAGUAUAGUUAUUGUUAUGGGCAAGCCUUCAAUUAGUCAUAAUUGCUAGACUCGACAAUUCUUCAAAUUACACCGUUCAUUGUUGGGAAGAAUCAUGAUUAUAAUGACUAAAAACCUUGAUUAUGUGGCUCCUUCAGCCAAUUCCCCCGAUCAUACCAAGUCAAACCUUAAUGGGAAUGUGCUACUCCUUCAUUCUCUCCCUAAAUAAGCACACAUCAAAAUGGUACCUAAGGUACACUCACUUGUCUCUAUUUGUGGAUCUUAUUUGGUGAAAUCAAGUGACUUGCACAAAAUGUUAUCAGAAUAGUUACUAUUCUAGGAAAAGGUCUCCUUGUGGAUGAAGAUGGCCUAAUUCAAAACACUCAAGUGAAGUAUAGUGUUUAAUCUCUUUUUGUGAUAGUGUUCAACAUAAUACCCAUGGCGGAACAAAUUUCCCAAAACUAUUUGUUUCCCACAGUUUCAGUUUUUUAUUAUGAUGGUAUCUGUUCGGCAUGUAUAAAGUUGUUAAGUUAUUAGUAAAACUAGUUACAAAUCACAC